rnacentral:lncRNA from 1 species
GUAAUAUUUAAGAUACAAGGGCAGAAUUCAUGAGAGAGAGAGACUUCAAAACUGUGCAUAGCUGCAAUCUAUUUUAAACAUUUGCAAUUGUGGUUUUGACAGGACUGGAGAGAGUCCAGCCAGUGUCUGCAUCCCCAGUCACAAAAGAUCUUUCACAAAGGACUGAGAGAGAACUUAAAACAGUACUUGCCACAGGAACUUGAGAUGAAGAGCUCUCUGUGCAGUCAUUCAGCUACAGCUUUACUUGCAGGUA